rnacentral:lncRNA from 1 species
UCUGGUUAAUAAGUUGUUGGGAGUUACAGUGGGUUAUCAUAGUGAAAGUGUUUGUAUUUUUUUAACAUGUGGUUAGCUGUUAGUAACGUAUUGUAUGGAUUGGUGCGUGGUUAAUGGUCAGUGGUUCGUAAGGAAGUAGCGGAUGGAACUUGUGGUUGGUUAGGUUGAGAACAUGUGGUCAAUAGGGUCUGAAGUUUUGUGGUUAGAGGCUGAGGAUUUGUGGUUAGAGUUAGAGGGUUUGUGUGGAGAGUCUGAAAGUAUGUGGUCAUGGUUAAAGGUUACAUGCAUGGUCAGGAAAAGUAGUGAUGUGGGCAGGAUUAGAGGUGUUGUGUUAAGGCGACCAGUGAUUUGGUGGCUUUUGUGGCUAGGGUUGUUGAGGAUUGAAGGGUCUGGUGCAUGUAGUUAGGGUCGGAGGUUUUAUGGUUAGAGGCUAAAGAAUUGUGGUCAGGGGUCAGGGCCGGUAAAAAAAUUUUAGAGUCCCAAAUUUACCAAAAAUUCUUUUUAGCUAAAUUUUUAAUAAGUUGCCUACAGCUCCUUAAAUCUCAGGGCAUGGGUAGAGGGUCUGUGGGGAGAGACUGAAGUUAUGUGGUCAGGGUUAAAGGUUAUGUGGUCAGUAGGAAUAGUGAUGUGGGCAAGGGUAGAGGAUCUGUGGGGAGAGACUGAAGUCAGGAAGACUCGCCGGUAACUAGACAAGAAGAAAGAUUCAAACUCGAUACUAUUUGAAACUUAGAAG